UCUGACUCCCGUUUCACUUACACUCGUCAUACAUAGGGAAUUUACAAAUGUACAAAUAAAAGGAGGAUUUUUUUUUUAAAAUAACAACAUGUAUGUACAAUGUAGAACAACAACAGGGGCAAUGAAUGUGGAUGUGAGUGAAGUACGGACGUGUCUGAUUGUUCAUCUGAGUGACGGCCAGGGGGAAGAAGCUGUUCCUGUGUCUGCUGGUUUGGCCGUCUCAUGUUCCAGAAACUGAUGAUUCAGCAUAAGUGUGAUAAUCAAUGUUUCUAUGUUAUUGACAAAUACGCAUAUCGCUGCCCAGGGACAAACCGGUAUCUUGGGCGUAGAGCAAUAUAUGUAAUAUGUGAUCACCCAGUCCUGUGAUGUCGGAGGCUUUGUGUGUGAGCUGAGUCUCGGUGACGGGACGAAACGGAUCCGUUGUGUUUAUUGGUCACUAUUUUUAGCCAAGUAUUAACAGUAGCGCGGCGGUGUGUGUGGGGCGGACUCAAAAUAGUGUGUGUGUGUGUUUCUGGCAGUGAGGAACACGUCACCCAGUGCAACACUGUGACUCACUGAUGUAUCUCCGGUAGUUUUCUGGACGGCGGGGCUUCGUGGCCGAGGGAACCGAGCCGCGGUGAGCUCUGACCACGCGGCCGCAGAGGCCCGGCGGCUCGGGGGCGACGGGCGAUGUCACGGACCAAUUAGGCGGCAGGAGGGAAGCCCGAGCCGAGCUGAGGGAGCGAUUAUCCAGACUCAGGGUCUUGAUCUGAUGAACAGAAACAAGAAAAAGACGCCCGGUCGAACAAAUAAAUAACCCCAGAAUUAUUUUUUAAAAGGGCCUUUUAUUUCGCCUUUUUCCCACACGGCCGACAGUUGGAUGAAUCGGAGCAGGACGGGCGGAGCAGGUGGAACUAAUCGCUUUAACCACGUGUCUUCUCCAUGGCGGCGUCCCGCUGAGCCGCCGGCGUCGCACACUCCCAGGACCCUGGAACUGGCACGCCUGAAUGGAAGGCGGCUAUUAUUCGUGUUAUUUGGUUACACCUGUGCUUUCCCCGUCAAAGAGACGAAGAGCCUCCAGACGGGCUGGACGUUGUCACGCAGGCGAACCGGCGCGGCGUUGACAGCUGCGUGCCGUUUAUGUCUUCCAGUUGGGCACCGACGCAUUGAAAGGAAAAUUCAAUUUUUCAAUUCAGUGUAUUUGUAUAGCCCAAUUUCACAAAUUACUAAUUUGUCUCUGAGUGCUUUACAAUCUGCACAUAUAGACAUCCCUGACCUUUGACCUCACAUCGGAUCAGGAAAAACUCCCAAAUAACCCCUCUAGGGGGAAAAAAGGGAAGAAACCUUCAGGAGAGCAACAGAGGAGGAUCCCUCUCCAGGAUGGACAGAACAAUAGAUGUCAUGUGUACAGAGGGACAGAUUUAGAGUUAAAAUACAUUCAAUGAAUAUGACAGUGUAUGAAUAGUUCAUAGUAGGCAUAUUCCAUGAUGGAGACCUCCACGAUCCAUCAGGCAGAUGGCGGUAGAGAGGCGGAGUGGGCGGAGUCUCAACAGGGCAGUGGCGUAGUCAGUAGCAGGAAUUCCACGACCCAGACCUCGAUGAUCCAUCAGCAGAUAGGAUCUAUACCGUCUCAUAGAGUCCGAUGACCCCAUGAGACGUGAAGUCAAAAGGACUCCGGGGAGAAAGCAGUUAGUAACGUGUGAUUGAGAGAUGGAAAUUCAUCCUUAAGGAGAGAAAAGAGGAGAUAGGUACUCAGUGCAUCCUAAACGUCCCCCGGCAGCUAUAAGCCUAUAGCAGCAUAUCAAGGGGCUGGACCAGGAAUUACCAGGAAAAUGAAGCCAUUGACGCUGUAAUUAGCUACGACUGUGCUUUUUAUGCUAUUGACAACAUCCACAGGGGUGUGUGUGUGUGUGUGUGUGUCAAGUCUCGGCUGGUUUUUUACCUUGAAGCUGCUCUAAACAGUAGUUUCGCACCAACAAAGGCUCAAAUGAGUGUGUGUAAUGUGAAAGAACUGACCCCUGCUAAGCCCCGCCCCCUCCGUCAAGGUUGCAGAGCUGUCACUAACUGCACCCCCUGAAUAAA